rnacentral:lncRNA from 1 species
CCUGACUGUCCCCCUCACCAGACUCUGGGGAGGAAAGGGAGCCCAUGGCAGACCAGACCCCUGGCCGGCCAGGGUCCCCGGGCCUACGAGGAGGACGUUCAUGGGCGAGUGUAUGGUGGUGGAUGAACUGCGGCAGAACCCGAGAUUGGCAGCUGGAACCCUCUCCUCUUGCAGAUGAGGAAGCCAAGGAAAUCAAGGGUGUUUGAGUGACCGACGGAAAGUCACACAGCUAGGAAGUAAAGGAGCCAGGAUACAGGCCCAGAGCCCUGGUUUUAUCUGAAACCAAAACCAGAAGUUCCUCUUCCAGCUGCCACCACCUCUCUGAGUAUCAGACCUGCUAAUGACAAUGGUAACAUCAGCUCCACAGCAUGGUUCUAAGCACUGUACAUUAAUGCGAUCAAUAAAAGCAUCUUGCCUUAA